rnacentral:rRNA from 1 species
AAGGUAGCGAAAUUCCUUGUCAGGUAAGUUCUGACCCGCACGAAUGGCGUAAUGACUUGGGCACUGUCUCAACUGCAAAUCCGGCGAAGUUGUAGUGCGAGUGAAGAUGCUCGCUACCCGCGAUUGGACGGAAAGACCCCGUAGAGCUUUACUGUAGCUUAGCAUUGAAUUCCGGUAUUGUCUGUACAGGAUAGGUGGGAGACUGGGAAACUAGGGCGUCAGCCUUAGUGGAGUCAUCCUUGGGAUACCACCCUGACAGUACUGGGGUUCUAACAGGAUGCCAUGAAUCUGGUGACUGGACAUUGUUAGGUGGGCAGUUUGACUGGGGCGGUCGCCUCCUAAAAAGUAACGGAGGCGCCCAAAGGUUCCCUCAGAACGGUCGGAAAUCGUUCGUAGAGUGCAAAGGCAGAAGGGAGCCUGACUGCGAGACCUACAAGUCGAGCAGGGACGAAAGUCGGGCUUAGUGAUCCGGUGGUACCUCGUGGGAGGGCCAUCGCUCAACGGAUAAAAGCUACCUCGGGGAUAACAGGCUGAUCUCCCCCAAGAGUCCACAUCGACGGGGAGGUUUGGCACCUCGAUGUCGGCUCAUCGCAUCCUGGGGCUGAAUUCGGUCCCAAGGGUUUGGCUGUUCGCCAAUUAAAGCGGUACGCGAGCUGGGUUCAGAACGUCGUGAGACAGUUCGGUCCCUAUCCGGCGUGGGCGUAGGAUAUUUGAGAGGAGCUGUCCUUAGUACGAGAGGACCGGGAUGGACUGACCUCUGGUGCACCAGUUGUUCUGCCAAGAGCAUGGCUGGGUAGCUAAGUCGGGAAGGGAUAAACGCUGAAAGCAUCUAAGCGUGAAGCCUCCCUCAAGAUGAGAUUUCCCAUAGUCGAAAGACUAGUAAGACCCCUUGAAGAACACGAGGUUGAUAGGUCAGAGGUGUAAGUGUGGUAACAUAUUUAGCUGACUGAUACUAAUAGGUCGAGGGCUUGACCAA